CGUGAGUUAUAAAGCUAUUAUACAUAUCUGAAUAUCCAGCGAUGCGUUUUAGUUUACAGUUAAUCGUAGUUUUUAUUGUGCUCGCGACUAUAGCGCAGUGCCAGGACUGUAAAGUUGGUGGGAACCUGUGUGCCGAUCACGAGCAGUGCUGUGGCGGAUGCUGUUUUAACGGAGAAUGCAUAGACACUUAUCGAUCGUGUCUCGGAGAUUUGAAUGUGUGCAAAGACCAUGUCUGCAGGGGUGAAGAGAACUGCGUGCCCUACAUGCCGAAAAGAUGCAUUGGAUGCGAACCGCUGCCGUUGUGUCGUACAAAAAGAUAAAUAUACUGAAAUGAAAGUUCAUUUAUUGAAAAGUUGGACUCACUCAACUUAAUAAUCUUCCGUGGAUAUUGAAUGUUUUCUUAUAUUUUUGCAUAAUAUUUCAUUGGAUCAAGAUGUUACAGCUUGUCUAUGUUAAUAAUAAUAAUUAAUAACACUGUAGAUUAUAUUAGUAUAGCAAAUAUUCGUGCCAAAU